rnacentral:lncRNA from 1 species
CCCAUGCACUUCCAGAACUCCACCGGGAUCUCGUCAGGCCCGGUCGCUCGACCCCUACUCAUCCUACGUAAAGCCCUCAUGACCUCCUCCACCCUAAUGCGCCUGCAGUACCCAAGCUCUCUAUGUUUCUCUGAAUGCCCCAGCUCCCCUAGCUCUAUGUUACGAUCCCCCUCCUUGUUAAGUAAGUCCCGAAAGUACGCCUGCCACCUCUGUUUGAUUUGAGAUUCCCCCAUCAGAACUCUACCAUCCUCGCCCUUGAUACACCUAACNNN